AGAGUUUGUUCCUGGCUCAGAUUGAACGCUGGCGGCAGGCCUAACACAUGCAAGUCGAACGGUAACAGGAAGAAGCUUGCUUCUUCGCUGACGAGUGGCGGACGGGUGAGUAAUGUCUGGGAAACUGCCUGAUGGAGGGGGAUAACUACUGGAAACGGUAGCUAAUACCGCAUAACGUCGCAAGACCAAAGAGGGGGACCUUCGGGCCUCUUGCCAUCGGAUGUGCCCAGAUGGGAUUAGCUAGUAGGUGGGGUAACGGCUCACCUAGGCGACGAUCCCUAGCUGGUCUGAGAGGAUGACCAGCCACACUGGAACUGAGACACGGUCCAGACUUCUACGGGAGGCAGCAGUGGGGAAUAUUGCACAAUGGGCGCAAGCCUGAUGCAGCCAUGCCGCGUGUAUGAAGAAGGCCUUCGGGUUGUAAAGUACUUUCAGCGGGGAGGAAGGGAGUAAAGUUAAUACCUUUGCUCAUUGACGUUACCCGCAGAAGAAGCACCGGCUAACUCCGUGCCAGCAGCCGCGGUAAUACGGAGGGUGCAAGCGUUAAUCGGAAUUACUGGGCGUAAAGCGCACGCAGGCGGUUUGUUAAGUCAGAUGUGAAAUCCCCGGGCUCAACCUGGGAACUGCAUCUGAUACUGGCAAGCUUGAGUCUCGUAGAGGGGGGUAGAAUUCCAGGUGUAGCGGUGAAAUGCGUAGAGAUCUGGAGGAAUACCGGUGGCGAAGGCGGCCCCCUGGACGAAGACUGACGCUCAGGUGCGAAAGCGUGGGGAGCAAAAGGGAUUAGAUACCCUGGUAGUCCACGCCGUA
rnacentral:rRNA from 1 species